rnacentral:lncRNA from 1 species
UUUUUUUCUUUUUCAUUGUACUUCAGUUCUGAUUACUUGGAUUAGGGGGAGAAAACUCAGUAGGAUCUGCCAAUUUUUAGUGAUUUCUGUCAUCAAUUCCUGAUUGCCUAGGAUUGCUUUGUUGUUCACCUUAGAUGCCUUUAAAACAUGAUUUAUUUAAGCCUAUUCACUCUUAGUUGGUUUGGUGAUUGGUAGUAAAGUUGUUUUGGUGUCACCCAUUGGAGUGAGAAUUUUCCCCACAUGAUGGCCAUUGUAGGUCUUUCACAUCAGGUGUACUUUACUUCUAGAGUUGUCAGAAAAGAAUUUAACUCCAGUAAUUAAUUAUUUGGGAUAAGUUUCCCAAGGAGUCCUCAGCUUAGGCUACAUUAGAGGCACUGCAUUCUAUUCAUAUAAUAUGAAACCUUUUAGGUCAUAUGAGUAAUUAAGUUUUACAUCAUUGUGAAAUAAACACAUACGCCUACGAUUUCACCGAAGCAUGUAAGUGGAUGGUUAAGAAGCAAAUGUGUGUUUCCCUUUGUGGAUAAUAAUGGCAGACAGUCAUAUUGUUUAUUUUGCCUUUGAUAUGAAUUUAAAUCAAAUAAAGAUGGUUCAAGUUAGCACAGGGAAAAUCCAGUUGCUUCCCUGGGUCCAUCAGCAUCUUAAUCCGUUUUUCAAAUGUUUUGGAGUUUUGCAAAGCUUGAAACUUUUUUUUUUUUUUUUACCAUGCCCCCUUUCCCUUGUUUUAUAAGCCAAUAUAAUUUUAAAGAAAAACUUAAUCCAUAUGUUUGUGAUUCAUUUUUACUAAACUCAUCAAAAUGGUGUUUUGUAAGAGUGAUUUGGUGUCCAACAAGUCUUUUGAGUCUCUCUGUAACAGGCCUUCUUAAUGCCAUUUCUCUUUGAAGCAAGAAGUUGUGUUUUGCCAACAGUAGAGAAAUUCAAACCCCCAAAGGGUUGAAAUCAGUUUGAAACUUCAAGCCUAAGGACUCUGUGGGGUUCUAUACUUGGCAAAUGGCUACUUCCCUUCUAACUUUGAAAUACCUUAUUUUCCUCUCACAAGAAAUGCUCUACUGUUUUGCUAAAAUAUGUAUUUAAAAUAAUCUUCAGAUUCUUUAAUACAUAAAAAUAUAUACAUUAAAAAGUGGGGCCUAACGUUUAAUUUAUUCUAAAGCAAUAUUAUUUGAUUAUCCAUUUGGAUUUUCCUUUAAUUCUCAUUUUCUGACCCUACACAUCUUUGUGAUUUGGAUUUACCCAAAGAUUUACCAGAAAAGAUGACCAUGAUGAUCCUACAAGCUGGAAAUAAGUGCUGGGUAGUUAUUGGCUUUCUUCCCCAGGUUGCUCAAUAAAGGACAUAUUACUUAAUGUAGUACGCUAAUGUCUCACACUAUAUUUCAUACUUUUAUUUAUGUUGACAACCAAAACUUCAAUGCAGAAGAUUUUGAAUAAUAUGCUCUAUGUCACAAGGUGAACCAUAAUUCACAGUUGUAGAUGUUUGCUAGUUUUUCAAUGUAGUUCAUUUCUAUUUAUAUGUUUAAAGGAAGACCUGUAUAAUUUCCGUUAGUUUUUAUACAAUAGGCAAGAGGAGAGAGAGUGAGAAAGAGAAAACAAAAUAGUAUGUACAGCAAGUUAAAUAUCCAAACCACUAUGGUCCUUUGUCCUGACUGCUUUCUGGCCAUGAAGUGGGAGUGCCCUCUAGUGAAACUUUAAAAUCAUUGGAAGAUAUUGGGUGUAACGUGGUUAAGGUUUUCUCCUAAAUUCUUUUCUUCAAAAAUCUUUGGGCAUUAACAAUUUGCAUAAGUUUUGAAUGAGAGUUAGAGAAAAACACAAAAUACCAUCAAGUAAAACUAUUUCUUUGGGAAACAAAUACAAAUGAAUACAUUACUGUCAAUAUCAAAAAGUACAUGUCUGCAUAUCUUUGUCAUCUAUCUGUUUAUCUAUCUAUCUAUCUAUCUAUCUAUCAUCUAUCUAUCGAAAGAUCCCAAGGACACAUAAGUAGCAUAUAACCCACAACAGGGCUAUAGUUAUCUAAAAGAAAACAUAUAAAAACAUAAUUACCCACUUCUCAAGAAGAUGAAUAAUAAAUAAGUUACUUUGGAAUGUGAAAAUAAGGCAGUAGUAGCAAUACACACGAGUAAAUAAGAAGUGAAAAAUACAUCUUGUCAUCUAUAUUAUUCCAAAUCUCUUUGUAGAAAGCAGCACAUGCUCAUUGUGAUAAAAUCUGAAAAAGUUCAAGGCCAGGAGUCAGAGUUCUUACCCUGGACUUCACUUACCAGCUGUGUGAGCUUGGGCAACACAUUUAACCUCUCUGAGCCUCAGGGUCAUCAUCUGCAAAAUGGGGCUUAAGAACACCUGCCCUACCACCUCAUAGGGUAGUAUUGAAGGAGAUAAAGUAUGGGAAAGGGCUUUGAAGUAGAUAAAGUUCUAUACUGUGAAGGUAUUAUUUUUCUGACUUCUUUCUACUGAGGAAAUUUCAAGCAAAGUCCCCUUUCAGGAUGAAGAGGGAAAGAAAGAAGACCCUCCUAAAAUUCUCUGGAGUCAGGAAUCAUUGACAAAACAUCUUUCUUCCCAAUCAAAAAAGAGUCACAGAGAAAGAAACAGGUGGCGCCCGAGGAAGGAUGCAGGGUUAGACAUUACCAUCGUGGAGCCGCCAGCUCUCCCGGACUAGGCUGACGCCCACGUGGAGGGCCCUCGGCCAGGAAGCAUGGCCUGGGCAGCCUGUGCUGGAGCCGGCUGGGCAGCAGCUGGUGGAGGAGUCAGGAACCGCGUCCCCUCGGGUUUACAGCAGCAAGAGUUUCCGUGAGUCUAAUCUCCACCUUGCACAGAGAGAAGCUCAGCAGCACGUAUGCUCCGCACCUCUGUGCUUUUAAUCCCCCUCUCCGUGACCAUCCAUGCAAAACCGUUCCCUCUUUGUUGUCUUUUCAAAACUGAAAAUAUUUUCAUUUUGUUUAUGCCAACAUAAUAAACUCUUCAUCUGAGCAAACAAUCUGAUUUUUCCUUUUAGUUGCAGUGAGUUUAAUUUCAGAUUUGUGCUGUAACAAUUCCUUACUUUUCUCCACAUAAAGCUUGUUUUCAGUGAGAUGUGGUUUCUCACUAGCUGUGUUUGCUUUGAAGAGAGUUUUACGUACUUAUUUUUAAAAUCAACUUGUAUAGGCACUUUAAAUCAAGGUAUUAAAAUUUUCAGAACAUUCAAAAACUGUUCCCUUUUUUUUUACAACAACAUAGGUAUCUCCUAUGUAUUUAUUGCCUAGAUUUUCACUAUUUAUCUUCUGGAUGUACAUCUUUCUUUUGUCCGGAGUGAGAAACUGUUUCUAGUUUCUUUACUCAGAGGUACUUCACAUUGUCAGACAUGCAUAAUCAAUCUUGUACUUAAACCUUUGUGAGGAACACAACAGAUGGAUAAUGGGAACAUGGUUGCCAUUUGGGGUCUGGUCAAUUCAUGAGCUGCCUCUACAGCCAUGACUCUGGUGUAUAGGAGAAAAACCAUAAAGUUAAUCUCUAAAGCUAUCUGACAGGUCCCAUGCCUGCUGUUUAUGUCCUCCCUCCCCAUUUGAUCUAAACAGUUGGCAUGGGGGUUGAGGGGUGCCACUUCUUCCUCAGAAUAAAAUUAAAUAAGAUAUUCAGCAGGUCUUCAACUGCUCACGGAUUUAUCCAAGAUAAGUGACCAGUUUCAGUUGAAUGACUGGGGCUCCCAUGUCAUAAAAUUGCUCUUGGCUAAAGCUAGAGUUCACUUUGUCUAAGCUACAUGCUCGUGUAUUGCUGGAGCACCACGACUUCUCAUUGAAACUUUGGGUUCCUUCUGUAUUAGAACCUUCCCUGACCUUUGCUGAACACCACAAAGAAACCAAAUGCUAACCUCUGUUUGUCUCAAAUUUUCCCCUAUUAAUGCUUGGUCCAAGUCUACAUUUCCAGCCAGUCUUUCAUUUAAAAACACAAUCUCAUUCAAAACCUGCCUGGUAACUUUAUCACUGGGGUAACUGUUACCUAUGAUGCAGGGCUGACCUGGGUCCUUGUAGCACUUGACAUCAUCUUUUGGACGGGUUACAGAGCCUUUUGAGGGAGUUGUUAGAAGCAGGCUCACCCUGUGUAUCUCCAGUGCCUAAACAGUGCCUGAAGUGAACAGACUCAGCAAACUUGUGUUCAACUCCUAUUUCCAUCUCUUACUAGCUGUGUGACUUUCAAAAAAUUGUUUGUCCUUUCAAGGCCUCAGUUUCCAUACAGUUCCACAGGGCUGGGAGGCGUCACAUUCAUGGCGGAAGGCAAGGACCAAGUCACAUCUUAUGUGGAGGGAGACAGGCAAAACGAGAGAAAGAGAGAUCAGAUCUCGUAAACCAUCAGAUGUCAUGAGACUUACUCACUAUCGCGAGAAUAGCAUG